UCUAAACUCAGAAACCCAUUGAAGAGGUCCGUUAUCACGUGAACAUGAGCAUAUCACUUGGGUGCGUUGUUAUUCUUAAUUUCCUGCUAUCUGUUUUCGCAGGGCCACCGCCAGUUAGGAAAAUCGCAGAAGGCCAUGUAGGACAAAGCUGCGAAUCCAGCGAAGUAUGUGGGCCGAUAGCCGGCUUCUGCUGUGUAAUUGAACGCUACGCACCAGGACAGAAAGGAGUCUGCCAGAAACGUGCUCUUCUUGGUGAGCCGUGCUCUAUCACAAUGUACAGAUCCAAGGAUGCGAACAAUUACUACGCCCCAUACGUGGGGGCCUGCCCCUGCCUUCCACCAAGACUCGCUUGCACAAGGACGCUGGACAACCGUUAUAAUUUGGGUGUCUGCGAGAACUUAUAUAACUGAGCUCCUGAAAUCUACACGUGGAAAAUACUUGCGUACUCUAACCGCAGAUGGAGGGUUUUUAUUAAAACCUCUUUUUCGAACUUUGUGGGUGCUGCCUUGCCGAGUAGACACGGACUUAACCACUGGGUAUUUGCCACUCGGUAAACAAAUAAACAU